AUGAAGACAAUUCUCAGACUGUCAACAUUAAAAUGUCAGCAUCACUCUGAAGGGGUUCACAAUCAGUGUGAAGGGCCCCAGGGGGACACUGCAGAGGGACUUCAAUCACAUUGAUAUAGAGCUGAGUCUCCUUGAAAACAAAGAGAGGCUCUGGGUUGACAAAUGGUGGGGUAACAGAGGACCUGGCUGGCCACUGUCAGAAGCAUGUGCAGUCAUGCUCAGAACUCGAUCAAGGAUGUCGCGCUGGGCUCUUGUCACAAGAUGAGGUUUGUGUAGGCUCACGUCCUCAGCAAUGUCGUUAUCCAGGAGAAUGUUUCUGUGGUGGAAAUCUGAAACUUCUUGGGUGAAAAAUCCAUCCACAGGGUUCUGGUAAGGACAGGUGUUGCUUGUUCUGUCUCUCGAGCCCAGAGGAAUGAAUUGAUCCUUGAAGGAGAUGAUAUUGAACUUGUUUCAAAUUCAUUGGCUCUGAUUCGGCAAGCCAUACACUUAAAAACAAGGAUCUCAGAGUUUUAGGAUGGCAUCUACGUGUCUGAAAAGGGAACCAUGAAGCAGGCUGACAAGUGAGA
rnacentral:lncRNA from 1 species